rnacentral:rRNA from 1 species
UACAGAGGUCCCGAGCGUUGUUCGGAUUCACUGGGCGUAAAGGGUGCGUAGGUGGCUUGAAAAGUUUGAUGUGAAAGCUCAGGGCUUAACCCUGAAAUGGCAUUGAAGACUGUCGGGCUGGAGGUUUGGAGGGGGGACUGGAAUUCUUGGUGUAGCAGUGAAAUGCGUAGAUAUCAAGAGGAACACCAGUGGCGAAGGCGAGUCCCUGGACAACACCUGACACUGAGGCACGAAAGCUAGGGGAGCAAACAGG